rnacentral:rRNA from 1 species
GUGGGGAAUAUUGGACAAUGGGCGAAAGCCUGAUCCAGUCAUGCCGCGUGUGUGAAGAAGGUCUUCGGAUUGUAAAGCACUUUAAGUUGGGAGGAAGGGCAGUAAGUUAAUACCUUGCUGUUUUGACGUUACCGACAGAAUAAGCACCGGCUAACUUCGUGCCAGCAGCCGCGGUAAUACGAAGGGUGCAAGCGUUAAUCGGAAUUACUGGGCGUAAAGCGCGCGUAGGUGGUUUUGUAAGUUGGAGGUGAAAUCCCCGGGCUUAACCUGGGAACUGCCUCCAAAACUGCAUGACUAGAGUACGGUAGAGGGUAGUGGAAUUUCCUGUGUAGCGGUGAAAUGCGUAGAUAUAGGAAGGAACACCAGUGGCGAAGGCGACUACCUGGACUGAUACUGACACUGAGGUGCGAAAGCGUGGGGAGCAAACAGGAUUAGAAACCCCGGUAGUCC